CCUACGGGGGGCAGCAGUGGGGAAUAUUGCGCAAUGGGCGAAAGCCUGACGCAGCGACGCCGCGUGAGGGAUGAAGGUCUUCGGAUCGUAAACCUCUGUCAGCAGGGAAGAACGGUCACUGUGCUAAUCAGCAGUGAAUUGACGGUACCUGCAAAGGAAGCACCGGCUAACUCCGUGCCAGCAGCCGCGGUAAUACGGAGGGUGCGAGCGUUAAUCGGAGUUACUUGGCGUAAAGCGCUCGUAGGCGGUAUGUCAAGUCAAGGGUGAAAUCUCCGCGCUCAACUUGGGAACUGCCUUUGAAACUGGCAAACUAGAGUGUGUGAGAGGAUAGUGGAAGUCCAGGUGUAGGAGUGAAAUCCGUAGAGAUCUGGAGGAACAUCAGUGGCGAAGGCGACUAUCUGGCACAUAACUGACGCUGAGGAGCGAAAGCGUGGGUAGCAAACAGGAUUAGAUACCCGGGUAGUC
rnacentral:rRNA from 1 species